rnacentral:rRNA from 1 species
UACGUAGGGUGCAAGCGUUGUCCGGAAUUAUUGGGCGUAAAGAGCUCGUAGGCGGUUUGUUGCGUCGGCUGUGAAAUCCCGAGGCUCAACCUCGGGUCUGCAGUCGAUACGAGCAAACUAGAGUGUUGCAGGGGAGACUGGAAUUCCUGGUGUAGCGGUGAAAUGCGCAGAUAUCAGGAAGAACACCAACGGCGAAGGCAGCUCGCUGGGACGGUACUGACGCUGAGACGCGAAAGCGUGGGGAGCGAACAGG